rnacentral:rRNA from 1 species
GUAGGGAAUAUUGGGCAAUGGAGGCAACUCUGACCCAGCCAUGCCGCGUGCAGGAUGACGGCCCUCUGGGUUGUAAACUGCUUUUAUACGGGAAGAAAAAAUACUACGUGUAGUAUACUGACGGUACCGUAAGAAUAAGGAUCGGCUAACUCCGUGCCAGCAGCCGCGGUAAUACGGAGGAUCCAAGCGUUGUCCGGAUUUAUUGGGUUUAAAGGGUGCGUAGGCGGAUCUUUAAGUCAGUGGUGAAAGCCUGCAGAUUAACUGUAGAAUUGUCAUUGAAACUGGAGAUCUUGAAUGUGGUUAAAGUAGGCGGAAUGUAUCAUGUAGCGGUGAAAUGCUUAGAUAUGAUACAGAACACCGAUAGCGAAGGCAGCUUGCUGAACCAUUAUUGACGCUGAGGCACGAAAGCGUGGGGAGCGAACAGGAUUAGAAACCCCAGUAGUCC